rnacentral:SRP_RNA from 1 species
GAGGACCGGCUCAAGAGGAGGCAGGCAACGGAGCAGAGCAUCGCUACGGCCCUCGUGAAGCAGAUGGAGAGCAUGG